rnacentral:rRNA from 1 species
AAUGAACGCUGGCGGCAUGCCUAAUACAUGCAAGUCGAGCGGAGCUGCGGACGGGUGAGUAAUGACUAGGAAUCUGCCUUGCAGAUGGGGACAACGUCCGGAAACGGGCGCUAAUACCGCAUACUACCUGAUGAGCCUAGGUCGGAUUAGCUAGUGGGUGGGGUAAAGGCCUACCAAGGCGACGAGCCGUAACUGGUCUGCGAGGAUGAUCAGUCACACUGGAACUGAGACACGGUCCAGACUCCUACGGGAGGCAGCAGUGGGGAAUAUUGGACAAUGGGCGAAAGCCUGAUCCAGCAAUGCCGCGUGUGUGAAGAAGGUCUUCGGAUUGUAAAGCUCUUUAAGUUGGGAAGCGUUACCAACAGAAUAAGCACCGGCUAACUACGUGCCAGCAGCCGCGGUAAUUC